UGGCAGGUACAGCGGGAAGCCAGGCGGCGACGCCGAGCGGAACCCGAAAACCUGUCUCAGUUCGGAUCGGAGUCUGCAACCCGACUCCGUGAAGCUGGAUUCGCUAGUAAUCGCGCAUCAGCCAUGGCGCGGUGAAUACGUUCCCGGGCCUUGUACACACCGCCCGUCAAGCCAUGGAAGCCGGGGGUGCCUGAAGUGUGCAGCCGCAAGGAGCGCCCUAAGGUAAAACCGGUGACUGGGGCUAAGUCGUAACAAGGUACC
rnacentral:rRNA from 1 species